GACGAACGCUGGCGGCGUGCUUAACACAUGCAAGUCGUACGGUAAGUCCCUUUCUGGUGUACACGAGUGGCGAACCGGGGGGUAACACGUGAGUAACCUGCCCACAACUUCGGGAUAACGCUAGGAAACUGGUGCUAAUACUUGAGAUGUGCUCCUGCUCCAUGUUGGGGGUGGGCAAGCUCAGGAGGUUGUGGAUGGAGUCGGGGCCCAUCAGCUUGUUGGUGGGGUAGUGGUAUAACAAGGCGGCGACGAGUAGCCGGCCCGGGAGGGAGACCGGGAACAGUGAGACUGGGACAGGGACCAGACUCCGACUGGAGGCGGCAGUAGCGAAGAUUACUAAAUGGGCGCGAGCGUGAUGCAGCAACGCCGAGGGCGGGAGGACGGCGAUCGGGUUGUAAACCGAUUUCAGCAGGGACGAAGCUUUUUGUGACGGUACCUGCAGAAGAAGCACCGGCUAACUACGUG
rnacentral:rRNA from 1 species